GCCGGAGUGGUGGAAUGGCAGACACAGGGGACUCAAAAUCCCCCGCUCGCAAGGGCAUGAGGGUUCGAAUCCCUCCUCCGGCACCA
rnacentral:tRNA from 1 species